AUGUCAUUUGAGCACCAUGCCUUUACUUUUAACAGCCCUCCGAUUCUCUGCAUCAAUGUAUAUAGACCACCCCAUCACUCUACUUUUAUCAGUGAAUUUUCUGACCUGUUAUCAAUUAUCCAUACCUCUUAUAGCAGGAUUUUAAUAACUGGUGAUUUUAAUAUACACAUUGAUGUUACCUCGGACCCGAUAUCCAGAGAGUUUUUAAAUCUUUUGAAUUGUCUUGAUUUUAAGCAGCACUUCAUGCAGCCGACUCACAACAGAGGACACACCCUGAACCUGGUCAUAACCCAUGGCCUGUCCAUCGGUGUGUCCUCUGUUGCCGACCUGGCUGUGUCUGACCACUACUGUGUAUUUUUUAACAUCACCAGUUUUAACCAAGGGGAGGCCCCGGUGAGAACAGUGAGGAGGCGCUAUAUAACUUCUGAAGUGGCUGCAAAUUUCAUGGGGAUUUUACAGAGCACUCCUGCUGAAAUUUUACCUGCACCUUGUAAUUUUAUCGUUGAUAAUUUUAACAGUAGACUGAAGUCAACUCUGGACUCAGUAGCUCCACUUUUAACAAAAACAAUAAAAAGAAAACCUACACAACCGUGGAGAAAAAACAAUGAAAUCAAUGAACUGAAAAGAAAGUGCAGGAGUGCAGAGAGAAGAUGGAGGAAAAAUAAACUGACAGUUCAUUACGAGAUUUUACGUCAACAACUCAAAAGCUACAAUAAUGCAGUCAGAAAGGCACGAAUUUCCCAUUUCUCACAACUCAUCACCAACCAUAAAAAUAACCCCCGACUCCUCUUCUCCACUUUUAAUAUUUUAACGGGUUCUAACUCUGAUAAAGCUUUUAAGACACCCACAGACGAUCUUUGCGAGAACUUUGCAGACCACUUCAGAACCAAAAUCAAGGACAUCAGAUCCUGCUUCUUAUCCCAUCAAGUUUUAUCUGUUAACGCAUCUGAACUGUUGUCCUUGCCUGAGGAAACACUGGAGAGUUUUGCCCUGGUUGAGGCAAGGACACUUGGUCGAGUAUUCUCCCAAGUAAACCCAACAACCUGCCCUUUAGACCCAAUUCCCACAUCACUCUUAAAAUCAUUUUAUGGAUUCUUUGAGGAACAGUUUUUAAACAUCAUGAACUGCUCUCUUCAGACGGGUGUCUUUCCCACUGCCUUCAAAACGGCAGUGGUGAAGCCCCUUCUUAAGAAGAGCAACUUAGACCCCAACGUUUUUGACAACUACCGACCUGUAUCCAACUUACCGUUUUUAAGUAAAAUUUUAGAAAAACUGGUUUUUAACCAAGUUAAUGACUUUUUAAACAGAAAUAACAUCUUAGAGAAACAUCAGUCUGGUUUUAGGAGAAACCACAGUACCGAGACAGCACUUUUAAAGAUUUUAAAUGACAUCAGAUGGAAUUUAGAUAACAAAAAGCUCACAGUGUUGGUUCUACUGGAUCUAAGCGCUGCUUUUGAUACAGUAGACCAUCACAUUUUAUUAAACAGACUCAGCCAUCUGGUCGGCCUCUCUGGUACUGUCCUCAACUGGUUUUGUUCCUAUCUCACAGAACGAUGCUUUUAUGUAAGUAUGGAUACAUGCUCCUCAGGAACCCAUGAAAUUGGAUGUGGGUUCCCCAAGGGUCAAUUUUAG
ensembl:lncRNA